rnacentral:rRNA from 1 species
AGGGUUUGAUCAUGGCUCAGAACGUACGCUGGCGGCACGCCUAACACAUGCAAGUCGAACGAAGUAGCAAUACUUAGUGGCAGACGGGUGAGUAACAUGUAGGUAUCUGCCCUUUGGCCUGGAAUAACACGAGGAAACUUGUGCUAAUACCGGAUAAGUCUUUACGGAGAAAGCUUUAUGCACCAUUGGAUGAGCCUGCACUUGAUUAGUUUGUUGGUGGGGUAAUGGCCUACCAAGACUGUGAUCAAUAGCUGAUUUGAGAGGAUGAUCAGCCACAUUGGGACUGAGACACGGCCCAAACUCCUACGGGAGGCAGCAGUGGGGAAUCUUGCACAAUGGAGGAAACUCUGAUGCAGCGAUGCCGCGUGAGUGAAGAAGGCCCUUGGGUUGUAAAGCUCUUUCGUCGGGGAAGAAAAUGACUGUACCCGAAUAAGAAGGUCCGGCUAACUUCGUGCCAGCAGCCGCGGUAAUACGAAGGGACCUAGCGUAGUUCGGAAUUACUGGGCUUAAAGAGUUCGUAGGUGGUUGAAAAAGUUGGUGGUGAAAUCCCAGAGCUUAACUCUGGAACUGCCAUCAAAACUUUUCAGCUAGAGUAUGAUAGAGGAAAGCAGAAUUUCUAGUGUAGAGGUGAAAUUCGUAGAUAUUAGAAAGAAUACCAAUUGCGAAGGCAGCUUUCUGGAUCAUUACUGACACUGAGGAACGAAAGCAUGGGUAGCGAAGAGGAUUAGAUACCCUCGUAGUCCAUGCCGUAAACGAUGUGUGUUAGACGUUGGAAAUUUAUUUUCAGUGUCGCAGCGAAAGCGAUAAACACACCGCCUGGGGAGUACGACCGCAAGGUUAAAACUCAAAUGAAUUGACGGGGACCCGCACAAGUAGUGGAGCAUGUGGUUUAAUUCGAAGAUACGCGCAGAACCUUACCAACACUUGACAUGUUCGUCGCGACUCUAAGAGAUUAGAGUUUUCGGUUCGGCCGGACGAAACACAGGUGCUGCAUGGCUGUCGUCAGCUCGUGUCGUGAGAUGUUGGGUUAAGUCCCGCAACGAGCGCAACCCUCACUUUUAGUUGCCAUCAUUAAGUUGGGCACUCUGAAAGAACUGCCAGUGAUAAGCUGGAGGAAGGUGGGGAUGACGUCAAGUCCUCAUGGCCCUUACGUGUUGGGCUACACACGUGCUACAAUGGUAUCUACAACAGGAAGCAAGACGGCGACGUCAAGCAAAUCCUUAAAAGAUACCUCAGUUCGGAUUGCACUCUGCAACUCGAGUGCAUGAAGCUGGAAUUACUAGUAAUCGUGGAUCAGCGUGCCACGGUGAAUGCGUUCCCGGGUCUUGUACACACCGCCCGUCACACCAUGGGAGUUGGUUCUACCUUAAGGCAAGGUUUUAAACCCUUGACCACGGUAUAGUCAGCGACUGGGGUGAAGUCAUAACAAGGUAGCCGUA